GGGGAAUAUUGGACAAUGGGCGCAAGCCUGAUCCAGCCAUGCCGCGUGAGCGAUGAAGGCCUUCGGGUUGUAAAGCUCUUUCACCCACGACGAUGAUGACGGUAGUGGGAGAAGAAGCCCCGGCUAACUUCGUGCCAGCAGCCGCGGUAAUACGAAGGGGGCAAGCGUUGUUCGGAAUGACUGGGCGUAAAGGGCGCGUAGGCGGUUCGUUGCGUCAGAUGUGAAAGCCCCGGGCUCAACCUGGGAACUGCAUUUGAUACGGGCGGGCUUGAAUCCAAGAGAGGGUGGUGGAAUUCCCAGUGUAGAGGUGAAAUUCGUAGAUAUUGGGAAGAACACCAGUGGCGAAGGCGGCCACCUGGCUUGGUAUUGACGCUGAGGCGCGAAAGCGUGGGGAGCAAA
rnacentral:rRNA from 1 species